rnacentral:rRNA from 1 species
GACGAACGCUGGCGGCGUGCUUAACACAUGCAAGUCGAACGGAAAGGCCCUGCUUUUGUGGGGUGCUCGAGUGGCGAACGGGUGAGUAACACGUGAGUAACCUGCCCUUGACUUUGGGAUAACUUCAGGAAACUGGGGCUAAUACCGGAUAGGAGCUCCUGCUGCAUGGUGGGGGUUGGAAAGUUUCGGCGGUUGGGGCUGGACUCGCGGCUUAUCAGCUUGUUGGUGGGGUAGUGGCUUACCCAGGCUUUGACGGGUAGCCGGCCUGAGAGGGUGACCGGCGACAUGGGGACUGAGAUACGGCCCAGACUGCUACGGGAGGCAGCAGUGGGGAAUAUUGCACAAUGGGCGGAAGCCGGAUGCAGCAACGCCGCGGGCGGGAUGACGGCCUUCGGGUUGUAAACCGCUUGCGCCUGUGACGAAGCGUGAGUGACGGUAAUGGGUAAAGAAGCACCGGCUAACUACGUG